rnacentral:rRNA from 1 species
GACGAACGCUGGCGGCGUGCUUAACACAUGCAAGUCGAACGGAAAGGCCCUGCUUUUGUUGGGUGCUCGAGUGGCGAACGGGUGUGUAACACGUGAGUAACCUGCCCUUGACUUUGGGAUACCUUCAGGAAACUGGGGCUAAUACCUGAUAGGAGCUCCUGCUGCCUGGGGGGGGUUGGAACGUUUAGGCGGUUGGGGAUGGACUCGCGGGUUAUCAGCUUGUUGGUGGGGUAGUUGCUUACCAAGGCUUUGACGGGUAGCCGGCCUGAGAGGGUGACCGGCGACAUGGGUACUGAGGUACGGAGCAGAGGGGAACGGGAGGCAGCGGGGGGGAGUAUGGCACAACGGGGCGAAGCGUGAGACAACAACCUCGGGGGCGGAAAGACGGCCUGGGGGGAGCAAACAGCUUUGGGCUGAGACGAAGCGUGAGUGACGGUAACGGGUAAAGAAGCACCGGCUAACUACGUG